UAAAUCCUUAUGACCGAACAUUUUUAAAUUACACAGAUAAAUUUUCUCUCAGGUGUUUAAGAACUUCCCGUCUCUUUUUAUACUUUUUUUUCUCUUUGUCUGUUUCAAUUGUAGAACCCUCUCAGGUUAAGUAUUGGUAAAUAUAUAUAUAUUUUUUAUUGUUAAUAUUAAGUGAAAAUCAAUUUUUUGCUUUGAAAAUAUUGAUUUUCACUUAAUAUUAACUAUUUUAAAAAUAUAUAUUUACCGAUACUUAACCUGGCAGCGAUAAACUUUGUUCAGUUGACUCCAAAGAACUAGAAUUAAAAUAGUUUUUAUUAUAGAUCCACGGUUGAGCAGCAGAACUUCUAGGACGAAUAAACCAGAGAGAAUCAAAUAUCAAAAAAAUUAACAUAGUCACCGAGACUUUAAACUUUAAAUUAAAUACUAGAAAUAGAGGUUAAAAUCUGUUUUUUGUUUGACAUUAAAUUGGAAAAAUGAAAUAAACUGUUUUCCCAUUUUACUAUAUUUCGUUCUUAAUUGAAAUUUAAAAGAACGACUGGUACACGAACCCGACACGGCCUCGUUUAUUUUGAGUUCUGGAAACUUAUUUGGGUUUACGGUUCUCCUUUGCCAGAUAAAAUAAUUAUUAAAAAAAUAAUAGUUUCACUUUCUGUAAAACAAAAAGUGCAAGAUUCUGGACAGAAGUGAAAGUGUCUGUGUCCAAAUCCCCACUCAGUCAUUCUCUGAUAUAAUCAUUUUAAAAGCGACUAUUUUCUUUCCCUUUCGAAACAUGUGUCUUAUUUUUGUGCUGGGGCCCGUGGAUCUUUAAGAAGAGCACAGGGGCCCCAACAUAGAACCACAGUAAGAUUUUAUUAUUGGGUCCAGUGUCCAGUUUAAACCCACCUAAACAUUGUAAAAACAAGAGGAAAGACAAGAGAUUAGAAUCGUUUUCUCAUGAGGAGGGUGGACAGAGAGUGCAUUCACUGUUACAGUCUGGACUCGCUCUGGUGCUCUCUCUGCAUCUCCUCUUUUUAUUGUCUUAGGAGGGUCCCUAGUUACACUGGGUGUGUCGCUCUCAGGGAGAGGGGCUGAAAACAGCAGAAACACCAGACAUACAAAUAUGACAAAUAUGUGUUAACAACAUCAGGUGCAGAUGUUUCCUUUCACUUUCAGACACAACUUUCUCUGUGCAGCCUUGAGAUCGUCUGCUCCCAGACUCCGAGGCCUGAAUCACUGUUGCUCACACAUGACUGCACACAGUUUCCAAGCACAAAAGAUUAUUCAAAUACACAAAGAAUAGUACAUAGCAAAUACAGCAAAUAUGGGAUAAUAUCUACAAUUAUUCUAACAGGUCCAGUCAAGCAGUUAACGGAGGAAACAGGGUCAGAUUUUUGACAUUCAAAUGUCUCUUGUUCAGAAACUAGAGGAACUAUUGAAAUAAGUAAAGUAUCAGAAUGUAGGAAAGAGUUACACUCCAACAGGGUCAAGUUAAACCUGUGAGAUUCUUUCAAGUUCAAGACAAAAAAUUUAAAAACUCAUGUCGGUAACGGAGGGAAUGAAAUAUGCAGCACUUUUUGGUCAAUAAAUCCAAACAGUGAUAACUCUUGGUUCUCACUUCCAUAUCCUUAACAAACUGGUUUGAAUAUUUGCUUCAUAUAGUUUUCUACCAUAUGGUACAAGAUUAGGUUGAAAAACCUCUGACUUUUUGACUCAUGAGAUUUUUUAUUAAGAAAGUUCAUGGUAACGGAGGGAAAAGUAACGGAGGGAAAAUUGUACAAACAAAUAGAAGGUGCAGGAUUUUACAUCAUUUGUUGCUUUUUUCUUCUGAAUAUUUUAAUAUUACUUCAAAAUGAAAGAAACUAUUUCUAUAAAAUAUGUCAGUCCUUCCAAGAACAUUUUUAUCAUUUUAAAUACAUUUUUUAUUUUUUUAAAUCCUGUCCCUUCAUCAACAGUUCAAAGAUGGAAUAACACAAGAUAUGAUGAAAUACAAACAUUUAUUUACAUGAUUUUCAGGUCUUUGAAAUUUGGGAAAUAAUUUUUGUUCCAUGUUUCAUUCAUGGUCUGUUUAAAACGGAUGGAACUUUAGAACCAAAAAUGGUACAGAAAAAAGAUCAACAGUUUGAUAAACUCGAGUACAUAUGUAUCUGUUCAAUACAUUUUUAUAUCAGAUGAAUUAACUUGAAUUUUUGGUCUUGUUGUUUCCUUCUGCUGGACUGGGGCCUGUUGUGGCUGCAGAAGUACAUCCAACGCGGAAAUGACGUCAGGUCUGAUGACUCAUGCUGCAUUUAUGUCCUCUCGGAAAGUGAAGCUCCAACUCCAGUCUUCAAACUUCAACUCGGAAAUAACGGGAAAUGAACGCAGCUCAGGUCGGAAUUUGACCUCGGAGACUCGAAGUGUUGGAGUCCGGAGUUUUCAUCACCGUGACUCAGAGGAAUUCUGUUUUACUUUACACUGAUGUUUUUUCCUGCACAAAUUAAACACAUUCAAGUAAAAUAUAUUUUUAAAAAAGAAACUAUUUUCUAUUUAAUGAAGUAAACUCAGCAACAAAAGCGUCUGAAACGGGCCUCAUUAGUUGAUCCGCAAUUAACCACAAAACUCCGACACCAUUUUAUUUUUAUGCACAAUUUCACAAUGGAUCCGCUUCCUCUGGUUUUCGUGAUCACAUGAAUGCAGCUUCCACUUCUCCACGGCGCAGUUUAGCAGGCCUAAUGUCAUUUUCAGAUAAUGUUUUGCUCGUUUACGGUCGGGCUCAUAGGUUUGGGACUCUGUGUGCUGCCCGCGCUCUGCUGCCAACCCAACGAAUACAGCAGUCCGGACGGACAGUGCUGCCCCAUGUGCCACGAAGGUAAAACCCCCAACCUCUUCCUCCUCCUUCUGUCCUCCUCCUCCUCUUCUCCUCCAGCAGAUCUGAGCCGUGUCCCCACCUGAACCCCGGGGCUUCAGGAUGAGGAAACUCCGGAAACACCGCGCGCCCCAGACUGACCCCCCGCUGCGGUUUACAUUUUUACUGCGAUUAAAAAAACUCAGUGACAGAAAAAAGUCCGUCAGUGAAACCGCAGGAAACAAACACGGGCCUCCUGCUGCUUCUGCUGCUGCUGCUGCGCCAUCUUAGUGCGUCGUCUCUCCCCACACAGGCAUUGAUCAAACUGGACUUUACUGUUGCAACCAUCCGCCCUGACGCUCCAUGACACGUUUGAAAAACUUAAAUUAUUCAUCUUUUUGAAGGACACACAACAACACUCAUGAUCCACAGACAAGAAACACACAAUAUCCACAUUUUACAUUAUUAUUGUGUUUUUAUUCUACUUUGUUUUGUACUUUGACUAGAGACGACUCCAUAAAAAUACAGAGAAUACAAAGUGAAAUCUGUUAAACGGGAACUUCUAGUGCCACAAUAAUCACAAAAGUUUAAUUCUCCCAUGAGCCGUGUCAUGUUCAUGUUAUUGCUGAAGAACGAGGCGUGCUUUGUGUUCAAUAAUUCCUUCUUUUUAAUAUCCCGUAAUGGCGGUGAACUCUCAUGUACAAGUGCUACACCACUUCUGUUAACAACACAUACAGAAAACACUGCGGCGCCCCCGUGUGGCACACGCCAUUAUAGCUACUGAUCAUAACAAGCCGUCAGACUCCUGCACCUGAGUCUGAGUCUGAGGGCAGAUUCAGCUCAGAUCCUGUUCACAAACACAAAGAAGUGUCACCGCACCCAGAGUCAGUGGUGCCAGAGUGUUUUUACAGGAAACAUGUAGUGUGUGUGUGGUUGUGUGUUGUGUAGCUGUUAUAAAAACAAUCAUCCUCAUCGCUGUAAUAGUUUGUCACCGUCACCAUCGAGAGUCUGGAGUCAAUGAAAAAUGUUCUGUCUAAAAAAGCAUUAUGUAAAACAGUGUUACUGAUGUCAGUUUACAUGUUGUUGUUGUUUUUCUGUACAAUAGUUAAUUGUAGAUCUGUGAUCUGCCAGCUGCUGGUGAAGUUUUCCACCAGCUCUUUUGCACUUUUUGAAGUAGCAGUGAAAAUGUUACAAAAAUACUCAGGUAUAAGUGUCCUUGUUAUAUUCAACACACACAAAUGAGAUAAUUUAUUUAUACAGUGGUUUGAUUCACUGUCCCUUUGUCCACUGCAUUAACAGUAUUUAAAUACUAAAAUGAAAUUUUAAUUAAAUGAAUGAAAGAAAAGUAUAUGUCGUCUAUUCAAAUAACAUUUUCAUAGAAUUGUACUUCUGAGUAAAUUAAAAUGAAACUUAACUCUA